rnacentral:tRNA from 1 species
AAAGGGAGACCUAAUUCGGGUAUGGGAUGAAAAAAAAGUAGUCCCUACCAAGAAUCAAUCCCAAAAGGUCGGAGCGAGGCAUAAGGCUUUCAAACUAGGUUCUGGGUUCACACAAGACCUGAAUCAGGAACAAGGGCUAUUAGCUCAGGUGGUUAGAGCGCACCCCUGAUAAGGGUGAGGUCCCUGGUUCGAGUCCAGGAUGGCCCACCUGCACAGGUGGCAAAAACAAGAGAAGCGAGGAAUCAGCACCUUAUCUUAUAUACAUAUAUAAGAGAGAAUGCUGGCUCUGAGUACAGAGUCCAGAGGAACCUUGAAAACUGCAUAGAGCUAGGUGAAAAAGCCAAAAAAGAAGACCGCAAG